rnacentral:snRNA from 1 species
GGAUGUGAGGGCGAUCCAGUUGCGACAUCUGUCACCCCAUUGAUCGCCAGGGUUGAUUCAGCUAAUCUGGUUGGCUAGGCGGGUGUCCCCUUCCUCCCUCAGCGAUCCAUGUGCAUCCCUCCCAAAGCUGCACACUCGGUUGAAGAGGACGACCGCCCCCAUUAGAGGAGGACCAUUCCUUGGUCACGGGCAUACGAGUAACUGCACUCCCCUGCUAGAACCUCCAAACAAGCUCUCAAGAAAUAAUCUCUCAGGUCUAAAAAGAAAUGACAACAAUUGUGAAAGAAUUGCUAAGCAUUGUUAAAGAAGAUACAGGGAAAAAAAUAGAGAAUAGAAAAUUGAUAUAU